rnacentral:lncRNA from 7 species
AGUAAGAGGAGGAAACCAAUUCAACAAAUCUGUCGAGUGAGUCAGGAAAGAGCAGUGUAUAAAAUAAAGCUUAUUUUUAGUAACACUCCUUUGGUUUUAAAAGUUAUUCCAACUUCACCUCUUCCUUUUUUUCAGCUUCACAGGCAGAUCAGAGCUCCUUCUGCCACCUCUCCUUCCACCUGGCGCAGAGGGCCAUGGUACUUCAGCUGUGCAGUGCUACCACCCUCUGGCCACUUCAAUUCCACAGUCCUCAAUCUGCAGGAGACUCUGAACUUAGUCGUAUGCCUCCUACAUCUACUCUUGGGUCACCGUGGGUGAAGUUCCCAGCUGGGCAACUGGCAUCCAAAUUGCGCUGGAUGAUUGAUAAAAGAAAUAGGAAUGGCUCCUCAGCCCUUUCAAGAAGCAUCUCUGAGAACACAAACCUUGGAUUUUGGUACGUCACCAGGGGAAUUUGCACAUGAGAGUUCACCUUUCUGUAACAGCUGUUACAACAAAACAUAGAAGAAAAUAAUGGAAAAGCAGCUGAGUACUUCCUGUGGAAAAAGAGAGUAUGGGAACUUAUUGCCUUGGAGAAAUGGUUUGUAUUGUCUAUUAAUUUACCACCCUCAGAACCCACAUAAGCUAUAAUACAACCAGGUCACAUGAAUUGAAAGGUGAACGUGUUUAUGUGGAUCUGACAGGUGUUAAUGGUGGCUUCCAACAGGAAAAGAAAUGCAGGAGGAGAAUUUGCCCAUUAAACAAGUCCAACAGCAUUACUGCUUUGUACCAGUAUUACUUUCUGUAUCCAGGUGUUGCGAAAGUAAACGUCCUGCUACCUUUAUUUAGGAGAAGAUCCUCACAAAUGUAAUAAUCUUUUAAGGCCCAAUUUUAUCAUGCACUGUGCUUCUAUCUGGGUAUCCAAUGUAAUGUUCAUAAUAAGAUUAGCAGAGUGUAAAUCUUUAUGCAAUUUAAAUAAAUAGUCUCUUGAGUGUCUGGCAUUAGGAAUACAUUGUUCUAUAUUCCCCUACAGGCACUGAUGUUGUGUGCUGCAAUUGAGAUGUAUUUGUCUGUACCAUAUUACAAAGCAUUUGAUUUAAUUUUAAAUGGAACUGUCCCAUCUCUUCUUUGAUUUGACUAUCAUGUAAUUUGGUUAAUUAAAAUUCAUUGGGUAUUUCUUUCCAUUUGCCACAAAAAUGCUGAAGUGUGUAAUAUGGUAUAUCAAAAGUAGCUAUGUGGAAUGUCAUUGGCACAGUGCACGGAACAGCCCAAUACAGACACUAUUGUUGUAACAUCAAAUUUAUCCUAUGAAUCUCGUCUGUCCAGCUUAUAUAUAUAAUUCCACAUUCACUCAAUCUGAAUGGUUAUUUCCCAUAUUAAUAUCCUUAUUCGUUUGUUGUGAUACCUGGAUGUUUCCUAAACCUAUUGACUCAUUUAGUACUGAUCAGCUUUUAAUAUGGCCAAACAGAAUUAAACACAGGAAAACAAACAAACAAGCAAACAAAACCCAUACCAAAUUCAGAUGCCCCAUCCUUCCUCAAAUUUGUUGUAAUUCUGUUGUCUGCUUUACUGAUGGACACCAAGAAAAAAAAAAACACCAUUGCAAUCAAUAGAGCUGGGAGACCCAAACCAGUUGUUCACCUAUCUGGGUAGAUCAGUAACUGGAAGUUCAUCUCAUCUCACUGCAGAUAUCUGAAACAGGACAGAAGAACAGGCAAACUACAUUUUUCUCUUCACUGACUCCAGAAAGAGGUUAAAAAAUUAACCAGUGUCAUGUAAAUUCAUGUUCCAAGCUGUCCUGUUUGUGUUGAGCAGUCCUUGUGUAUUUGCCUUCACUCUGCAUUACUGUGUGUGAGAUGGACCUCUGUUCCAAGGCUGAAAAUACAGCCAGCAGAGGUAAAUAAUCUGUCUGGUCACUCCUGAAGUGUCAACAGUUCUAGGAUCAUGACAUCUGUUGUAAUAAGGCCAGUGGCUCAGCACAGAAGGAUUUAUAUCACUGUAAAACUGGAGUAAACUCUCCAGUCAUCCACCCCAAUGCAUUUCACAGGAUGUAUAGAUAAUAUACUUGAUAAUUCCUGCACCAAGAUUCAACAGUUUGAGGCUCAAAAAGAUUGACCUCAAAAGAAAAUGCAUAUCCUUUCUUGGUUCAAAGCUCCUCCAGCAUCACUUAACUCUUCCAUAUCCUCGGUGGUAGUUUCCUAUGGCUUGUUGCCCCACAUCAGAAACCAUAAGAGUAUCAUCCUGGUUCCCAGUAAUAUUCUGCUGGUAAAUAAAAAGUUUUCUGUUUGCUUGUUU